CUCAUGUAUCUCAGAUGCCUUUCAUGAUUUUCAAAAGCUUUGGAUUAUAUUGACAAAAUUGUCCUUGUCUUUUCUCCAGGAUGCUUACGGUGAAGCGUGUCCUUUGCAGGCAAAAAUUCUCAAGGUGAAAUUGUUGUUAACAUUGAAAGACUACUUAAGUGCUAUUUCAGAGACUGGAUACAUACUUAAACAAGAUGAAGAUAAUUUGGAGGCACUACUGCUUCGUGGCCAUUCUUAUUAUUAUCUCUCAGACCAUGAUGUUGCUACAUGGUUUGACUUAUGAAAAUUCCUAUACAGAAUUACAGAUAUAUGUAAAAGGUUUCAAACCUUGUGUCAUAUGUGCACUCUUUUGCACUUUGCUGCAAUGAUGUUCUCCUUUUAUUUAAGCUGCAGUUAUUAACUCAACUCUGCAGAUUAUCACUUCCAAACAUUUGCAAUGUCUAAUGUCUGCACAUGUUUAACAUUCUGUUGCAUGCUAGAGCUAAUUUAUUCUAGUGCUUUUGGUAUGCCAAGAAAAAGUGAACAAAAAAAAACAUGAAAGUUCAGAAGAAAGUUUAAGAUGCAGGCAGUCCUAUAUCUAUGUUGGUAACCAUGCAUAUUGUUCAGAUGUGAUAUACUUUGCUAAAGGAAACAAAAAUUAAAGCCUAAAGGAAACAAAAAGGGGCAAGCAAUCUUUUUUUCAACUAAUUUUUUUAAUUACUGCAAACAGGUUAAAUAGGUCGGGUCGGAUUGGACAAACAAGUUAACCAGAUCAAGUUAGGAUGGGUUGGGCAAACAGGUUAACUGUUUAUUAAACAGAUUAAACGGGUCGGGUCGGGUUACCUGUUUAAUAAAUAGGUUAGGUUCAGGUUGUAAUUUCUGACCUGUUUAAUAAACAGGUCAGGUUCAGGUUUAUGAUUUUCUGACCCGAUCUGUAUAUGAUCCGACCUGUUUAUGUCUGACCCGACCCGAUUGCUACCCCUAGUGGCAACAGGUGGCUGUUGUUUGACACAUCGAUUUCAGGGGCAAAGCUGCGAGCUGCCUGGGCAGGUCGGCGUCAUGCACCAGUUCGAUCAUUCUAGAGGGCGACUUGGCCACGGUUAUCAGGUGGAUUCAGAGGGGGUCGAGGGGUGACAAUACAAACCACCCCUUGAUUCAUGACAUUGGGAUGAUGAUGAAAGAUGGAAGGGCCUUAUGCCUUUGUUUCCCUUAUGAAACACCUGCUUUCAAAUGACCGGUGUUGGAAGAGCACAUUAAUAAUAACUGAAAAACCCACCCUUAUGCCUUGAGUGCUCAGCUUCGUCCCUGGAGAAUCGGCAUGCCAAGAGAGAUCUCCCUCAUCAUAGGAGUGAAGAAAGGACCACAAAAAUACAGGUAGAGUGACAGAAAAAUGGUACCAGUCGUGGAAGAGAAAGUUGUGAAUUGGUCUCAAUAAGAGACCUAGCGCACCUCAUGCGCAGAUGCGUGGAAUAACAUGCGCCCAAGGAAAAUACUAAGACAGGAGUUUCUGGUAACAACUAGUAAUCUUUGGUCUGCUAAUGGUCCAUGGACUCGCAUUCAGUAAUUAGUCUUUUUAAGCUAUGUAAUUAGUUUUCAGCACAUGCUAUGUGCGAGUGCAGGGGGCUGGAGUAGAACACAAAAACAGAAACAAAAAAAAAAAGAAACCGACUCAGACAAAAUGUGGCUCAAACAAAAAUUCAACUGCAGUUAGAAGGCGAGCAAGUAUUUUCAAUUCUUUAGUUUACCUUUGUUUCCCUAUACAAAGACAACAUCAUAAACCAAAACCAAGUGAAAUAAAACUAACGACAAUAAAACAACACUCUAAGCACAAGGGCACUAGUCCUUUUUCCAUUUUUCAGCACCCUAAAUAAAAGUACACAAACAAAUACAAAAGUAUAAUCAAAUGCAAAAGCAUAAGUGUGCUCAGAAGAAAUAAUCAAAUCAUAGAGCAGCCUCAUAUGCCAAGACCUAUAAUUCAGCUUCGUCAUCACAGCUGAAAAAUCAAACCUCAAAGAAUGGCAAAGAAUGGUUACUUUGUUAAAACAAAGCACGCGCACAAAAAAGAAGUGCAAUGUAAAUAUUAAGGAUAGAUCUCUCAAGCUUUUCAUAAUCCAUAUGCAGUAACCUAAUUAUUAACCAGAAAAGUAUAUAAAUGUUAUACAAACUCAUGAGGGAGAUUGCUACCAAUCCAUCACAACCAUCAAGAUUCAAUGGCUGAUAACUCCCCACCAACAAUGUAGUUUCCAAUAAAAAUGUUUGGAGAGAAAGCAGAGAAAGGAGUGUCUAAUUUAGAUAGUUAAACAAGGGGAGGAGAAAUGAUGCCAAGAGGUAUCUGCUAACCAAUUUUUCUUCAAAUCUCUCUCUAUUUUAAGAUAGAGAUUUCCAACUUAAAAAAUAAACUUUUUGUAGAAUUUUACCCAAAAAAAAAUCCGGACAUGAAAAGAGCUUUUCUUGCGGCUAGGAUCUGCCAACCAAGAGAUGACUAUAAACUAAUAACUAAACAGCAAGUGUGCAUUAAUGAACAAUUUAAUAAUCGGAGAUUGUUUCUGGAGAAACACAGUUCUGAAACACUUAACAAGACUCAAAUGAUGAAGACAAGGCUAAAAUCGAUAAAAAGUUAAAAAAAAUAGAAGAAUAAUCCGUUGCAAAAACAACUAUAGAAGAAAACUUUUGAUCCAAUAUUCCAAAUGGACAAUCAUAUAUGGCAUCAGAUAAUAAGCGGAGUGUAAGUCCACACAACCACUUCAGUGUGUAGGAUAAGAUAUUUGCAUGAAUUGCCAUCCCUCCAGAAUCCUAAACAAAUUCCAAAGCUUGCAAUCUUGUAAAAAUGUUAGCAUACCGAGUAAAACUAAUGAAAACAUGACUCAAAAGUGCGGUAGUUAGAAAAGGGGCAUCAGAUAAUAAGCGGAGUUUUUGUCCACACGACAUUUCGGUGUGUAGGAUAAGAUUUCGCAAUCACAUCACUUGCCAACUUAACAAAUUUUUGUUCUUAAUACAUGAAUUUUUUGCUGCAAAAAAUAGGAAUUUCGAGUGGACCAUUUGACACCAGAGCAACCAAGUAUUAUGCAUUGGGCUGGUAAGCCAACCAUUUAGCUCUCUGCACCCGUUAUAUCUCCCCAGACAAAGAAUAAACCAUCUGAGAAGAGAGUAACUGGUGCAAUUCCUUUGCUACAAAGCUUAUAUAACCAAAAAAAAAAAAAAAACUAUUACAAGAUUAAAAAGUGGUGUCAAUCGAUAGCUCAGAAGAUGCGUAUUUAAUCAAAGACACAAAAUAGAUAUCAGAUGUCCAGACAUAGAAAAUUUUCGGCAUCCUCAUCAUAGCAUAUCAACAAACACUUUAUAUGAAAUUAAAUAAGAAAAGUUAAGAGAAAAAAAA